UUUAAAUUAUUCCUGGUGUGCAAAUUUUUACAGAGAUAUUCGGUUAUCUUGUCUAACCAUAAGCACCGUGUGUGUGUGUGUGUGUGUGUGUGUGUGUGUGUGUGUGUGUGUGUGUGAAGGUGUUCGUAUGGGUGGCAGGGGGAGUACUGCAAUCAGUGUAUCCCAUACCCCGGCUGUGUGCAUGGUACCUGUGAGGAACCGUGGCAGUGUCUCUGCGACACCAACUGGGGAGGACUGCUCUGUGACAAAGCUUCCUGUGUGACCACUGCCUCUACCCCUGGUCAGAGUCUUGUCGCUUGGUGGUGCUCACUGAUGCUGUGGAUGGAUCUGUGUGGACAGCCUGACCCAGGAGACAGCCAUGGACAGAGCCACUUGGGGACUUUCACACCAUCACAGAUCUGCCAUUACAUCUGUCAGCUUGAGACAGCAAGGAAUUAGUGUCUUUAAUGACCUCAGAAACUACAGUGACCUAAUAGUUCCCCAUGAGCCAUUUAUUGCUGUUGUAAAAAGGACAUUAAUCAGCUACAGUUACAUUAUUUACUGUCCAGUGUCACCCAAAUGAGGAUGGGUUCCCUUCUGAGCCUAGUUCUUCUCAAGGUUUCUUCCUUAUAUCAUCUCAGGGAGUUUUUCCUUGCCACCGUCACCACAGGCUUGCUCAUUUGGCAUAAAAUAAAAUAGGGAUAAAAUAGUUUAAUAAUUUAAUUUAAUAAUUUUUUAUUUUUUAAUUAUAUAAAAAAUAUAUCUAUCAUUCAGUGGUGUGCUGUCAGGGCCAGCAAGGCCUUCUCUGCUGGCCUAAACAGCAGUGAUCCGAAUCACUGACUUGCAUUUUAAUAUAAUUAAAAUAUUUUUCCAUGAAUGUGUAUUAAAUUAUUCUCCAUAGUCUAUUCUCUACAUUUCAUAGCUUUGCUCUUGGUUGCGCUGCUUCCAGUAGUGUAUAUUUAUGAUAAGAGUAUUUAUCCAAUUAUAUUUCAGCCAGUAGCUGAUAUCAUGUGUUGCCAGGGUGAAAGAAAUCUGCCUUAAGGCCUUCAGAAUCAAUAGUGCAGGCGCCCGUAGCUUAAAAUAAGUGGCAAUGAAACUGUUACAUCACUGGGGCCAUCUAGCAGGCAUACGAUUACGUCAGCAAUUUCCCGUCCUUUGAUUGGAUAAUUGGAGUAGUCAGAGAGGCAGCGAACUGCACAUAAACAUUGUUUCUAUAUUCGCUGUGUCCCAUUCCGGAUGCUGCGUCCUCAGGAGAUUGCUCUUUGCUGCAUAUGUCAUCAAGAAUGUCUUUUUUGAGAAAUGUAACCGUAAAAAAAUUGACUAUUCCUUGUGAGGUGUGAAAUACUGUAGCCUAAUUUCUUUAUUACUUUGCUAUUUAACGGUUGAUUAUUAUCUAUUGCCAUAGCAUCCAGGGACGAUUCUAGAAUUUUCAUUUAAGGGGGGCUCAGCCCCCAGUGAGGGUAUAAUAGAAAUAAAAUAAAAUAAAAAAAUAAAAUAAAAUAAAGGUUUGACUAACAGGUUAAGAUGGUAAACUUAUUGCAGCAUUCCACUGUAUUGCAUAGAUAUGUAUAACACAGUACUGAACAAGCCAAAUACGAGUCUUCCUGAUCACACACACACACUUGUCCUCUGAUCCUUGCUUUGCGACGCAGCAGUCUGUGGAUUGAAGAACGCGCUGAAAGACGGGGAGGAGCCGAAGUCUGCUGCCGUUUUCAUAUGAAAUUUUGAGGGGACCGAGGCGAUCACCAAUUUGUGUACAAUUUAUAGAGAAUUGUAGAGGGCUGAGUAGAAAAUGGCCUAGCAACGCCCAUGGUGGCGUCAUAAUGAUGGUAUAGAGGUGGAUUAAUUCAGGAAGGUCACCAGUGAAGGCCUAGGUCUGAAAUGCACAGUCCACCACUGGUAUCAUUACAUAACUUAAUUCCACAAUGGGUUCAUUCAUUAAUCUUCAGUAAAGUCUUUAUCCUGAUCAGGGUCACGGUGGCUCCCUAUCAUGGACACACUAGGCACAAAGAGGGAACACACCAUAGCAACGGAAUCAAGCACAUGGACACUAACACAAAUCAUGUGUAAGCAUUUUUUUAUGUUGGCUACUGGAACCAGUGCUACUUGAUGAAAAGAAACCAACUUGUACUUAGUUAAUGUUGACUAUUUACAUGAAAUAAACGUAAAGUUAAAUAAA